rnacentral:rRNA from 1 species
GACAGAGGGUGCAAACGUUGUUCGGAAUUACUGGGCGUAAAGCGCGUGUAGGCGGCAGGGUGUGUCGGAUGUGAAAUCCCGUGGCUCAACCACGGAAGUGCACCCGAAACUACCCAGCUCGAGUCUCGGAGAGGAAGGUGGAAUGCUUGGUGUAGAGGUGAAAUUCGUAGAUAUCAAGCGGAACACCGGUGGCGAAGGCGAGUUCCUGGACAAGUCCUGACACUGAGGCACGAAAGCCGGGGGAGCAAACAGG